CCCUUAGAUGUUCUGGGCGGCCCGCGCACUACAUUGGCACUGGCAACAAGAUCCUAGAUCUGGUAUUUCGGGGUAUUCUACCAACUGGUGUCGUGACUGGGAUUAACCCCUGCAAUUAUUGGUUAUGAACGAGGAAUUCCUUGUAAUCACGGUUUAUCAACCCGUGUUGAAUGCGUCCCUGCCCUUUGUACACACCGCCCGUCGCUCCUACCGAUGAAUCGUCCGGUGAAGUUCAUGGAGUCGCGGCUGCUCCAGCUGUUUUCGAAGUGAAAUGGACCUCAUGAUUUAGAGGAAGGAGAAGUCGUANCA
rnacentral:rRNA from 1 species